rnacentral:lncRNA from 1 species
GAGAGUCCCAGUACAAGCCCUGAGAAACACUGAGCUCUAUAGAAAGCCCAGCAGCUUAUGAAUCAUAAGCGAGAGUUAAUCGUCAGCUUGGGCUUAGAAUAAUGAUGUCCUUGGUAGUGGCGCAGUAGAAGAAUCAAUACAUUCAGAUGCAACAAAACAGUUUGGAAAAAUAAAUGUAUUCUAAGCACUGACUUGAGGCUGACACAUACAGUAGACAAGACUUCUGUCAGUAAACUCUACAACAAUUUUAUAGCCUGCCCCUUCCUUUCAUUUCUACAGUUUGGCAGUGCUUGCAGAGAAGGCUGUGCUGCCCAGUUUCCCUUGCCUGAGCACUCUUUUUGACUGUAGCAUGCUGUAGGAAGUCAAACAUGGAUCUGAAUACUCAUGGGCUUGGAAGACGACUCUGAAGAGCCUUCUUACCUCUGGGCUGUAAAUUUUCAUCUUACCCAGGAUAACACUCCUCAAUGGUACUCAGGUUCAAUUAAUAACAAGCUGUUAUCUACUAGAGAGUUUCUACAGGUGAGAAGAUUAAAUGUCUGAUUGGUGAUAGUGCACUUGGCUGGGAGAGAUCUUCCGGAUUACUUUUUUGAAAGAACAUAUUGAGCUUCCCAUGGGGCAGCUUAGGAGAAUGAUUCAUAUCCUAAUUUUUUCUCCUUUUGACUGUUCUGGAUUCUAAGGUAUGAUAUGAAGAGAUCAAUUCAGACAAGCAACUACAGGAUUGAGGAAUGCCCUUCUUAAAGUGAACCCAUGCAAUGUUUCGCUAAAGAAAGUGUGAAAGGGGUCUGUUGUGUUUUACAGGUUGAAUCGAUCCAAACUAAUAGACUAACCAAAGGUUAUUGGACAGCCAGGCUGAAAAGGAGCAUGCUUCCUUGCCACUUAGGUCUUUUCAUUGAACACCUGCUUUCCAAGUCACCUCUUUUUACAGUGAGUGCAAUUCUUUCUACACUGCUGUGAGAAAGACUACCUUACUGUUCUUUAGAGUUAGGGUUAGUUUAGAUAAGCCAAAGUUGCCGUAAAUGACUCAGACUUCUAGUGGAAUUGCCUGACAGUGAAGAAAUACAAGUUUUCUUGGGUACAGAGAUGGAAUGUAGUCUCCAAAGCACCUGCAGGAAUGCACAGCAACAUCACUAAAUUU